rnacentral:rRNA from 1 species
UACGUAGGGGGCGAGCGUUGUCCGGAAUCAUUGGGCGUAAAGCGCGUGUAGGCGGCCCGGUAAGUCCGCUGUGAAAGUCCAGGGCUCAACCCUGGGAUGCCGGUGGAUACUGUCGGGCUCGAGUCCGGAAGAGGCGAGUGGAAUUCCUGGUGUAGCGGUGAAAUGCGCAGAUAUCAGGAGGAACACCAAUGGCGAAGGCAGCUCGCUGGGACGUGGCUGACGCUGAGACGCGAAAGCGUGGGGAGCAAACAGG